AAUAUUGGACAAUGGGCGAAAGCCUGAUCCAGCCAUGCCGCGUGUGUGAAGAAGGUCUNCGGAUUNUNAAGCACUUUAAGUUGGGNGAAGGGCAGUAAGGUAAUAACCUUCUGUUUUUACGGUACCGGCAAAAUAAGCCCCGGCUAACUUCGUGCCAUGCGGCGCGGUAAUACGAAGGGUGCAAGCGUUAAUCGGAAUUACUGGGCGUAAAGCGCGCGUAGGUGGUUCGUUAAGUUGGAUGUGAAAGCCCCGGGCUCAACCUGGGAACUGCAUCCAAAACUGGCGAGCUAGAGUACGGUAGAGGGUGGUGGAAUUUCCUGUGUAGCGGUGAAAUGCGUAGAUAUAGGAAGGAACACCAGUGGCGAAGGCGACCACCUGGGCUAAUGCUGACACUGAGGUGCGAAAGCGUGGGGAGCAAACAGG
rnacentral:rRNA from 1 species